CUACAAAACUGAAUAUAUUUCUGCAGAAAAGGGAAGACACUGUGACGACACAUACAUGAACUGGAAUUACGUAAAUUCAGUGCAAGUGACAAGCAUACAUGUACCACACGGUUGACAAAUAUAACAUUCACGAACUUAUUUUAUAUAGAUGCAUCAACUAGUCAGAUCCCAGAAAACAAACACUAUAUUAUACAAGUACUAAACAGAGCAAACAGCUGUUUACAUGUACUCUUCAAAUCUGAACCUUACAAGUCUUGAACAUCUCUCAAUACUAUAGAAUUUCAGAGAGAGAGAGAGAGAGAGAGAAGGCAACAGCAGGAGGUUGAGAGAGAAGAAGCAGUAGCAGGGGGCGUUGAGAGGAGGGAGAAGGAGCAGCGGGGCAAAGGAAGAUGGAGUAGCAGCAACGACUUGGAGUUUGGAGAUGGAGAAGGAGCAGAACAACAGCGUGGUAGGGGAAAGUAGAAGAGCAGCAGCAAUAGGGAUUCAGAGAGGAGGCGAGCUUGGAGAAGGAUAGCAGCAGGGAGAGUUGUAGAUGAGCAGCAGCAGUAGCGCGGGGGAGAAGGAGCAGCAGACAGGGAUUCAGAGAAGCGAGGAAGAAGGGAAGAAGAAGCAGCGGCGGUGUGUCUGGCCGGGCACGCCAACUGGAGGGAGAGGUCGCGCAAGGUGGGCACUGGUGGUUGGCGCUGUGAUGGAUGGAUGAUGGUGUGGGUGGUGGAUGGCGCGGGUGAUGGUGGAGCAACGAGGUCGCCGAAGCGCGUCGCCACGAUGGCCUGGCCGCGGCGGCGGCCGGAGGUGGGAGAAGAAGUGGUGAGGGGGAGAGAGAUGGAGAUGCCAGCUCCCUUUGGGAAUGGAGGCUGCUAGGGAUUUUGAUCCCCUCCGAUCAGAUCUGAAUGUUUUCACUUUGGCCCUCCUUCUUCCUUCUUUUGGCACAAGAUGAUCCCUCAACUCCUUAAGCUAGCCCCCCUAAGCUUUAAUCUUCUUCAAGCUUGAGUCCCUCUUUCUUCUCUUCUUGCCCGUGAUCUUGUUCCUCAAUUCUUUCUAGACAGGAACUUGUAGAUUAUAGUGCCUUGUCGCACUUUUCUGCAAAAGAAACACAAUGACUAGUAAAUGAUUCAUUAUAUGAUUUCCAUGCAAAUAUUCAAUAUUUCACAUCAAGAAUUAAUGGUCAUAUCUCAAUAAACCGCAUAUUUGAGUGCCAAAAGAUGUAUAUGAAAUGUGCUUAUCAAGUUCCCCACACUCAAAUCUUUGCUUGUCCUCAAGCAAAGGCAUAUGACAAAAGCAAGAACAUGAACAGUGAACUGACUAGAGAAUGUCAAGUGAAGUAGAUCUCUAAACAGUGCAUGCUUUGGACUUGGCUAGUGAAAAUUAAUGGUUAAGAGUGCUACAUAUCAAUAGGACACUAGUAAACUCGACCAUUUUAAACUUUUGCAAUGAUAAACGAAGAUUAGCAAGUUCAAAUGCUGAUUGUGCCAAAGGGUUCCUAAAGAGAGCAUGAUCCCAAAAAAAACUUAUUACCAGGAACAUAACAUUAUGGUAGAAGCACUUAUUGAAUUUUAAGGAAGUAAUGGUAAUAUUUUAUUGAUCUCACCAAUGGAACAUACCACCGAUCCCGAGAACAUGGUAUACACCCGGCUUGGCCAAUUAUUAGUUUUUUUUAGUUUGUCUCCCCAAAGGAACAUACCACCGAUCCCGAGAACAUGGUAUACACCUUGUUCGACAAUUACAUUUCUAUAAUUAUUAAUUACUGCCCAAGCUAACCUGAUUUCACAUGCCACCGAUCCCGGGAACAUGACAUGCUACUGUAGGUAGCCAGACUUAUUUAUUCAUUAUUACUUAUCUUAAAUGAACAACACAUAAGAACAAAAACAGGAAUCAUCACUUCUCCAUGUCUGGUUCACAUGCUACCGAUCCAGGGAACAUAGCAUGCUAAUCCAUAGUGGUUAGGUGAUUGCUCUCAAUGGGAAGACACUUGGCACAAAUUCAGCAUCUAAACAUGGUGAUCUAGGUGUAUCAUAGUAAAUGCAGAAAAUGACGAAGUUUUCUAGUGUACUAGGGAUUUGAGCACUCAAAACUAGUAGUUCUCACUAAUUUUAGCAAAGCAUGCAUGGUGUAGAUCACUAGUUUACAAGGCAUCCAAAAAUCAAGUUCACAAAUUCACAUCAAGCACAAUGCCAAAGGUGAGAUUCAGCUUGACAACAAGUAAUAACUGGCUCAAGCAACCCAACUAGCAAUUGAAUUCAGCAUGUAUUUAUGAUAUUCAGAAUGGGUCAUGAAACAGCUCACCGGGCUUAAUGAAGUAGCACUCGCUUGAUCACCUCACCAACUGCAGCUCUUCUCCUUUUCCUUCCUUAUGGAUGCUCCAGCUUCACUCUUCUUCGUGUGUGCCCCAUUGCUUCUCCUCAUCGCCAUGCUCUGACUCCACCAGGAUCCCAAGGAAUGUCACCUCAAACCUGGUCAGCAUGUAGUAAACAGUGCAGUAGCAAAAGCCUGAAAUAGGACUCACACAAACAACUAUAAGUGAUACGGUCGAUGCCCUCCAAGUCAUCAAUGGUAUAUCCAAUUAUAUAAGCAUAACUAUAAAGCACAUGUUUAGGAUGGCAGAAAUCAGCAUGGUCAAUACUCACACGAGGAUGACAUUUAUCAUUAAGCUCAAGACUAGCAUGGAAAUGAUGUGUUUCAUUAAGCAUAGGACUAGCACGAGGAAAGUAACUAUGAUCAUCGCAAAUGAGAGUAAUGCCACUAACAGGGUAUAUAUCAUCAUAUCCAAGCAAAUGAGUUUUCAAAUCAAUCUUAAGUGAUGGUAUCAUGUAAUGCAAGGUGGUAGCAAAGAAAUCACAAGGCAUCAUGUCAUCAAGAGGAUUGAGUAAACCUGACACAUCACGCUCUGGUAUGACAAUAGGCAAAUGAAUCUCAUGUUCUUCAUCUUCAUCUACAGCAGCUUCUUGUACUUCUUCAGGAGUAAUAGAUGAUGAGUCUUCAACUUGAUCACUUGGGAAUUGCAGCUCUUGACCAUCUUGUUCCUUGUCUUCUAGUUCAUCUUCUUCAAUCUGAGGUAUCUCUUGCUCAAGGCACUUGCUAUCUUGCUCAACGAAAUGUGAAGGUGCUGGAACCUCACAUGUAACCAUGGAUAUCUCAGCCACACUCAACUCAAGUUGUGAAGAAAUAGUGCUGCCAGCGUUGAUGUUCUUCUCAAUCUUCCUUACUUCUUCCACUAGCUCUUUUCCACUCUUGAUCUUCUUCAUUUCAUCUAGUAUAACCUUCCUAAUAGGAUCAUCCUCGGCACUCCAACUAAACUCGAGACUAAGCAAUGUGAUCUUUCUAUAUCAUCAAAUUCAUCUUGUGUGGGCACUUGCACAUGAGAUUGCUCGAAAGGUGCUGGAGUUGUUGGUUGACCAAAUGGAGGACCAUUUAACUCCAUUGGACACAUCUCCUGGUAUUGAGGUAUAUGAGUAGGAGGUGAAUAAAUCUAUUGUGGAGCAUAGUUGUGGUUCUCCUCAUUGUACCUGAAUCCCUGCAUUGGAUAACUAGAGGCAAACGAUGAGAUCUCAGGGUUAUUGCUCCUAUAUGACAUAUUCUGGUUUUUAGACCACCCAUGUGUGUAAUUGUUUUGGUAUGAGUUAGGCAGUGGGGCGAAGCUCAUGCCAUAACAAUCGGGAGGAUGGGAGUAACCACACUGACAUUCAGCGGGCGAAUGGCCCUGAAAUCCACAAAUAUGGCAGGUAGGAGCAACAUAAGGAUGGCCUCUGGAAUUAGGAUUGUAAGAACUAGGCCUAUCCUCAAAAACUCCUUCUUGCUGUCGAGCUAAAUCAUCUAAUCGAUGGGAAAUCUUACCUAUCAGUUCUUAAACACUUUCCGUGUUGUUUGUAGUGUUGCUCGCAUAAGCCUGAUGAUCUGAAUAGUAAGCCAUAACCGAGAGGAUAAUCCAACCUGCAAAAAGGAAAAGAAGACAAAAAGAUACUAACUAGAACAGGGGUUAGUGGCUAGAGAUAUAUCACAAAUAUAUAAAGCACAAAAAGGAAACAAGCUAAACCUAGUCUAAAGCCUAGCACAAUCGCUCGAUGCUAGUCCCCGGCAACGGUGCCAAAAUGAUCAGUUGAAAGUACAGUGGGGUUUUUACGCCCAAACUGCGAGUGUCGUGUUCUCCUCAGGGACUAGGCGACGACGACUAUGCUCGACUAAAGCUAGGUGACAGAAUACAAAUGAUGAUUGCAAGGAAAUAAACCUAAACUAAACAUGGUAGUUCCUAAAGAUCAUCGCCAAAGAAAAUGCAAAAUAAGCAAAGAGAUAUUCAGAUUUUCUAUACUCUCUUUUUGGCAAUUUCCAUAUUACUCAAAGAAUUUAAUGCUAACACAAGAAAACAUACGGCUAGGAAAUUAAAAAGACAAGAACAUAUAUAUAACUAUCUAACAUGAACAGUGGGAAGAAACAAGAACUUGAGCUAAUACAUGGACUACAAAACUGAAUAUAUUUCUGCAGAAAAGGGAAGACACUGUGACGACACAUACAUGAACUGGAAUUACGUAAAUUCAGUGCAAGUGACAAGCAUACAUGUACCACACGGUUGACAAAUAUAACAUUCACGAACUUAUUUUAUAUAGAUGCAUGAACUAGUCAGAUCCCAGCAAACAGCUGUUUACAUGUACUCUUCAAAUCUGAACCUUACAAGUCUUGAACAUCUCUCAAUACUAUAGAAUUUCAGAGAGAGAGAGAGAGAGAAGGCAACAGCAGGAGGUUGAGAGAGAAGAAGCAGUAGCAGGGGGCGUUGAGAGGAGGGAGAAGGAGCAGCGGGGCAAAGGAAGAUGGAGUAGCAGCAACGACUUGGAGUUUGGAGAUGGAGAAGGAGCAGAACAACAGCGUGGUAGGGGAAAGUAGAAGAGCAGCAGCAAUAGGGAUUCAGAGAGGAGGCGAGCUUGGAGAAGGAUAGCAGCAGGGAGAGUUGUAGAUGAGCAGCAGCAGUAGCGCGGGGGAGAAGGAGCAGCAGACAGGGAUUCAGAGAAGCGAGGAAGAAGGGAAGAAGAAGCAGCGGCGGUGUGUCUGGCCGGGCACGCCAGCUGGAGGGAGAGGUCGCGCGAGGUGGGCACUGGUGGUUGGCGCUGUGAUGGAUGGAUGAUGGUGUGGGUGGUGGAUGGCGCGGGUGAUGGUGGAGCAACGAGGUCGCCGAAGCGCGUCGCCACGAUGGCCUGGCCGCGGCGGCGGCCGGAGGUGGGAGAAGAAGUGGUGAGGGGGAGAGAGAUGGAGAUGCCAGCUCCCUUUGGGAAUGGAGGCUGCUAGGGAUUUUGAUCCCCUCCGAUCAGAUCUGAAUGUUUUCACUUUGGCCCUCCUCCU
rnacentral:lncRNA from 1 species